UACGUAGGGGGGCAAGCGUUGUCCGGAUUUAUUGGGCGUAAAGAGCGUGUAGGCGGUUUGGUAGGUCCGUUGUGAAAACUCGAGGCUCAACCUCGAGACGCCGAUGGAAACCAUCAGACUAGAGUCCGGAAGAGGAGAGUGGAAUUCCUGGUGUAGCGGUGAAAUGCGCAGAUAUCAGGAGGAACACCGAUGGCGAAGGCGGCUCACUGGCCCGAUACUGACGCUGAGGCACGAAAGCGUGGGGAGCAAACAGG
rnacentral:rRNA from 1 species